rnacentral:rRNA from 1 species
GAUGAACGCUGGCGGCGUGCCUAAUACAUGCAAGUCGAGCGAACAGACGAGGAGCUUGCUCCUCUGACGUUAGCGGCGGACGGGUGAGUAACACGUGGAUAACCUACCUAUAAGACUGGGAUAACUUCGGGAAACCGGAGCUAAUACCGGAUAAUAUAUUGAACCGCAUGGUUCAAUAGUGAAAGACGGUUUUGCUGUCACUUAUAGAUGGAUCCGCGCCGCAUUAGCUAGUUGGUAAGGUAACGGCUUACCAAGGCAACGAUGCGUAGCCGACCUGAGAGGGUGAUCGGCCACACUGGAACUGAGACACGGUCCAGACUCCUACGGGAGGCAGCAGUAGGGAAUCUUCCGCAAUGGGCGAAAGCCUGACGGAGCAACGCCGCGUGAGUGAUGAAGGUCUUCGGAUCGUAAAACUCUGUUAUUAGGGAAGAACGAAUGUGUAAGUAACUAUGCACGUCUUGACGGUGCCUAAUCAGAAAGCCACGGCUAACUACGUG